rnacentral:rRNA from 1 species
UGGGGAAUAUUGGACAAUGGGGGAAACCCUGAUCCAGCAAUGCCGCGUGAGUGAUGAAGGCCUUCGGGUUGUAAAGCUCUUUUGUCAGGGACGAUGAUGACGAUACCUGACGAAUAAGCUCCGGCUAACUUCGUGCCAGCAGCCGCGGUAAUACGAAGGGAGCUAGCGUUGUUCGGAAUUACUGGGCGUAAAGGGCGUGUAGGCGGUACCAUAAGUCAGAUGUGAAAGCCCUAGGCUUAACCUAGGAGGUGCAUUUGAUACUGUGGAACUAGAGAUCGAGAGAGGAAAGUGGUAUUACGAGUGUAGAGGAGAAAUUCGUAGAUAUUCGUAAGAACACCAGUGGAGAAGGCGACUUUCUGGCUCGAUACUGACGCUAAGGCGCGAAAGCGUGGGGAGCAAACAGG